rnacentral:piRNA from 1 species
UGAGACAAGGACAGUGAACACAGAGCAGUC